CAACUACUCCCUUCGUCCCAAAAUUNUUGUCUUAGAUUUAUUUAGAUAUGAAUGUAUCUGGUCAUGUUUUAGUAUUUUGAUACAUCCAUUUCCAGACAAACAUAAGACAAAAAAUUUGGGACGGAGGGAAUAUUUG
rfam:Hordeum vulgare subsp. vulgare, WGS project CAJW01000000 data, contig: morex_contig_1569643